UGGUAAGUUAUGCCGCAAAACACUGUGCC
rnacentral:sRNA from 1 species